UCUUAUUGAGAGCGGUGGAGGGACUGGCCCAAUGAAACCCGGCAACCUUUCAGUUUUAGUCAACGAAAAGGUGCUAAUUCCAGCAAGGCUUCUGAUUCCGGGGCCUUGAGAGAUAAGA
rnacentral:ncRNA from 1 species